rnacentral:rRNA from 1 species
AGAGUUUGAUCCUGGCUCAGAACGUACGCUGGCGGCACGCCUUAUACAUGCAAGUCGAACGAAGUAGCAAUACUUAGUGGCAGACGGGUGAGUAACAUGUGGGUAUCUUCCCUUUGGUGAGGAAUAACACGAGGAAACUUGUGCUAAUACCUCAUAAGUCUUUACGGAGAAAGCUUUAUGCGCCAAUGGAUGAGCCCGCACUUGAUUAGUUUGUUGGUGGGGUAACGGCCUACCAAGACUUUGAUCAAUAGCUGAUCUGAGAGGAUGAUCAGCCACAUUGGGACUGAGACGCGGCCCAAACUCCUACGGGAGGCAGCAGUAGGGAAUAUUGCACAAUGGAGGAAACUCUGAUGCAGCGAUGCCGCGUGAGUGAAGAAGGCCUUUGGGUUGUAAAGCUCUUUCGUCGGGGAAGAAAAUGACUGUACCCGAAUAAGAAGGUCCGGCUAACUUCGUGCCAGCAGCCGCGGUAAUACGAAGGGACCUAGCGUAGUUCGGAAUUACUGGGCUUAAAGAGUUCGUAGGUGGUUAAAAAAGUUGGUUGUGAAAUCCCGAAGCUUAACUUCGGAACUGCAAUCAAAACUUUUUAGCUAGGGUAUGAUAGAGGAAAGCAGAAUUUCUAGUGUAGAGGUGAAAUUCGUAGAUAUUAGAAAGAAUACCAAUUGCGAAGGCAGCUUUCUGGAUCAUUACUGACGCUGAGGAACGAAAGCAUGGGUAGCGAAGAGGAUUAGAUACCCUCGUAGUCCAUGCCGUAAACGAUGUGUGUUAGACGUUGGAAAUUUAUUUUCAGUGUCGCAGCGAAAGCAGUAAACACACCGCCUGGGGAGUACGACCGCAAGGUUAAAACUCAAAUGAAUUGACGGGGACCCGCACAAGUAGUGGAGCAUGUGGUUUAAUUCGAAGAUACGCGCAGAACCUUACCAACACUUGACAUGUUCGUCGCGGCUCUAAGAGAUUAGAGCUUUCGGUUCGGCCGGACGAAACACAGGUGCUGCAUGGCUGUCGUCAGCUCGUGUCGUGAGAUGUUGGGUUAAGUCCCGCAACGAGCGCAACCCUCACUUUUAGUUGCCAUCAUUUAGUUGGGCACUCUGAAA